rnacentral:rRNA from 1 species
AACGAACGCUGGCGGCAUGCCUAACACAUGCAAGUCGAACGAGAUCUUCGGGUCUAGUGGCGCACGGGUGCGUAACGCGUGGGAAUCUGCCCUUUGGUUCGGAAUAACAGUUGGAAACGACUGCUAAUACCGGAUGAUGACGAAAGUCCAAAGAUUUAUCGCCAGAGGAUGAGCCCGCGUAGGAUUAGCUAGUUGGUGUGGUAAAGGCGCACCAAGGCGACGAUCCUUAGCUGGUCUGAGAGGAUGAUCAGCCACACUGGGACUGAGACACGGCCCAGACUCCUACGGGAGGCAGCAGCGGGGAAUAUUGGACAAUGGGCGAAAGCCUGAUCCAGCAAUGCCGCGUGAGUGACGAAGGCCUUAGGGUUGUAAAGCUCUUUUACCCGGGAUGAUAAUGACAGUACCGGGAGAAUAAGCUCCGGCUAACUCCGUGCCAGCCGCCGCGGUAA